GUGGGGAAUAUUGGACAAUGGGGGGAACCCUGAUCCAGCCAUGCCGCGUGUGUGAAGAAGGCCUUUUGGUUGUAAAGCACUUUAAGCGAGGAGGAGGCUACCGAGAUUAAUACUCUUGGAUAGUGGACGUUACUCGCAGAAUAAGCACCGGCUAACUCUGUGCCAGCAGCCGCGGUAAUACAGAGGGUGCAAGCGUUAAUCGGAUUUACUGGGCGUAAAGCGCGCGUAGGUGGCCAAUUAAGUCAAAUGUGAAAUCCCCGAGCUUAACUUGGGAAUUGCAUUCGAUGCUGGUUGGCUAGAGUAUGGGAGAGGAUGGUAGAAUUCCAGGUGUAGCGGUGAAAUGCGUAGAGAUCUGGAGGAAUACCGAUGGCGAAGGCAGCCAUCUGGCCUAAUACUGACACUGAGGUGCGAAAGCAUGGGGAGCAAACAGGAUUAGAAACCCCUGUAGUCC
rnacentral:rRNA from 1 species